AGUCAGUCCGCAACGCCCGCGAUAAUUAGGCAGAAUGCCCAAAUUUACACAGCACCCGGAAGUGCGAUAAACUGUCGUAUUUCGUGUCCCGCGAUUUGCGAGAUUUCGAGAGACUUUUGCACAGGUCAACAAACUUUAUCACAGCUGCUAUGGCUUUUACUGUGCUGCGUAGCAUGUAGGGGACCGAAGAAUACAAGAACAGCUUCUAUCCUCGUAAUGGAAUCAACUACCAGCCGGCAGCCACCAUCAUCAAAGUCAACAUCAGCCAAGUCUUUCCAUACCAAAGUUUGGAGCUACAUGCAGAAUGACCACUCAGCGCAGCUGUACACAGGCGGGCUAGAGCGUCGAUGUGGCUCUACUUCAUCUAAAAAUUAGAUGAUGUCUGCAACCAACUGUAUUUUUAUGAGCACCUUUUUAUUUUUAUUUUUGAACUCUGCACCCUCAGUUGUGAUGUUUGUUGACAGUUUGCGAUGCCACGGAAGUCUGGAUGUAUAUAACAAUUGGUCCUGUCCAGUACCACCUUAGAUGUAGAUGUUGUUGUUUUUCUGACGGAUGCAAUCAACCAUCGAACUUGCGGAACAUUGACAACAAAUUAUCUAAGACACAGACUUCACACAUCAGUCUCCAUUGCAUUCCUGAAUCAGCGUUUGCUAGACUUCACAUACAUGUAGGAACAAACAAUCUUGAAAGCGGAGUUUGGGAGAAGGACAAGAAGGAUUUUGUUCAGCUUAUUCUUUCAGUAACCCAUUGCACCAUUCAUAUAAGAGUAGGGGGAAACCCCGGUGUAAUGGUCCACCUGCAUACCCCCAACCAGGCCGAGUAUAAUACGGCAUCUGCAAGAAUCUUCAGUAUUGAAGGAGGCAGAUUAUCUCGAAGAAGAAGAAGAAGAAGAAGAAGAAAGAAAAAUCCAUUUCAAGUGAUUACAUUUUUGUAUCUCUGAUAGUGAUACUUCGAAGGUGGGAUUCCUGAGCUUUACAUGAACAAAGCAUUUAUUAUAAUAAAAAACUGAUUGAACUGUCACCGUUAUACAAUUUAAAGAUGUUUUACUCAGAUAAUACUUUUAUUCUCAGUGACACAUGUUAUGCAAGUAAUGGUCUCAAGCAGGGUAAAAAUUAGUACGUAUUUUUCGGGGGCUACUUUUCAAGCUUGCCUGCGUAAAAAUAACACUCUAAAAUUUGUUUUGCAUUGAACUCUAUGCAAAUUUAUGGGGGCUCUUUUCUGAUCUUCGGGGGCUCUUUUGGGCAUUUCGGGGGCUAUUUCGUCCUGAGCCCGUGUAUUUUUUUCACUGGUCUCAAGUUCUCAACAUACAUGUCAAAGUCAGUUUAUAAAUAAAAUAUGAAUAUUAUAAAAUGGAAA